rnacentral:rRNA from 1 species
GACGUAGGAGGCGAGCGUUGUCCGGAUUCAUUGGGCGUAAAGAGCGCGCAGGCGGCUUGGUAAGUCGGAUGUGAAAUCCCGAGGCUCAACCUCGGGUCUGCAUCCGAUACUGCCCGGCUAGAGGUAGGUAGGGGAGAUCGGAAUUCCUGGUGUAGCGGUGAAAUGCGCAGAUAUCAGGAGGAACACCGGUGGCGAAGGCGGAUCUCUAGUACGAUACUGACGCUGAGACGCGAAAGCGUGGGGAGCGAACAGG